rnacentral:rRNA from 1 species
UACGAAGGUGGCAAGCGUUACUCGGAAUUACUAGGCGUAAAGGGCAGGUAGGUGGUUUAGAAAGUCUGUUGUUAAAGCUCCUGGCUUAACUGGGAGAGGCCAACAGAAACUUCUGAACUUGAGUAUGGGAGAGGGUACUGGAAUUCCCGGUGUAGCGGUGAAAUGCGCAGAGAUCGGGAGGAACACCAAUGGCGAAAGCAGGUGCCUGGACCAUUACUGACACUCAACUGCGAAAGCUAGGGGAGCAAACAGG